GACGAACGCUGGCGGCGUGCUUAACACAUGCAAGUCGAACGGAAAGGCCCUGCUUUUGUGGGGUGCUCGAGUGGCGAACGGGUGAGUAACACGUGAGUAACCUGCCCUUGACUUUGGGAUAACUUCAGGAAACUGGGGCUAAUACCGGAUAGGAGCUCCUGCUGCAUGGUGGGGGUUGGAAAGUUUCGGCGGUUGGGGAUGGACUCGCGGCUUAUCAGCUUGUUGGUGGGGUAGUGGCUUACCAAGGCUUUGACGGGUAGCCGGCCUGAGGGGGUGACCGGCCAAAUUGGGAAGGAGAUACGGCCCAGAACCCUAGGGGGGGAAGGAGGGGGGAAUAUUGCAAAAGGGGGGGAAGCCUGAUGAAGAAAGGCCGGGGGGGGGAUGACGGCCUUGGGGUUGGAAACCUCUUUGGCCGGGAAGGAAGGGGGGGUGACGGAAAGGGGUAAAGAAGCACCGGCUAACUACGU
rnacentral:rRNA from 1 species